rnacentral:rRNA from 1 species
CGUAGGGUGCGAGCGUUGUCCGGAAUUAUUGGGCGUAAAGGGCUCGUAGGCGGUUUGUCGCGUCGGGAGUGAAAACCUCGGGCUUAACUCGGGGCUUGCUUUCGAUACGGGCAGACUAGAGGUAUGCAGGGGAGAACGGAAUUCCUGGUGUAGCGGUGAAAUGCGCAGAUAUCAGGAGGAACACCGGUGGCGAAGGCGGUUCUCUGGGCAUGAUCUGACGCUGAGGAGCGAAAGUGUGGGGAGCGAACAGGAUUAGAUACCCUGGUAGUCCACACCGUAAACGUUGGGCGCUAGGUGUGGGAUCCAUUCCACGGGUUCCGUGCCGCAGCUAACGCAUUAAGCGCCCGCUGGGGAGUACGGCCGCAAGGCUA